rnacentral:ncRNA from 1 species
UCCGCCCGGACGUCCGGUGGCGCGACGCAAGAGGGAACCCGGUGGGAAUCCGGGACUGUCCCGCAGCGGUGAGUGGGAACGAACGCCGUCAAACGACACUGGGCCCGUGCCAGGGCCGGGGAAGUGACGGCCGGUAGGGGUCCGCGGAUGUCCGGCGGGCGCGCCCACGAGUCCGAAGACCUGCCGCUGUGCCCGUGCGUCA